rnacentral:sRNA from 1 species
GGUUCGACUCGAGCGGAAGCGAGAGAACGUUGCCAACGGCAACGGCCCGAAGGGCGCGACGCGCCGAGUCAUCCUUCCCCUACCAUAA